rnacentral:rRNA from 1 species
GGGACGGCUAACUACGUGCCAGCAGCCGCGGUAAUACGUAGGUCCCGAGCGUUAUCCGGAAUUAUUGGGCGUAAAGGGCACGUAGGCGGACAAAUAAGUUUGAUGUCAAAUAUGAUGGCUCAACCAUCAAGAGGCGUUGAAAACUGUUUAUCUAGAAUCUCGGAGAGGUAAGUGGAAUUCCAUGUGUAGCGGUGGAAUGCGUAGAUAUAUGGAGGAACACCAAUGGCGAAGGCAGCUUACUGGACGAAGAUUGACGCUGACGGUGCGAAAGCGUGGGUAGCAAACAGGAUUAGAUACCCUGGUAG